CACAGUGGAGGUAAAGAUUG
rnacentral:miRNA from 1 species